AAGUGUCAACUUUCAAGCAGCAGAAGUUACUCCAAGGAGAUCUGGAAACUAUUUUUCACCAAAGCAAAUGAUGUUCUGGACGGAGCCCUCGUCAUAUUCUCCAGCGCAGCAGCAAAUAUGUCUCAGCCAAUCAGAGGUGAUGUCGUGUCCCAAGUGCUGGAUGUGGUUGGAGAGCUGAGACUGGAGCGCAUCAGUCCUGACCAAUGGACAGACCUCGCUUUCAUCAGCAUGUUGUUGGGUCAAUAUCUGAAGCCGUUUUUACCAUUUGCGUCACCAUCCCUACUGCUGUGCACCAGCAGCAAAAACCUCAGCUGCCAAACUUACCAGCACAUUCUGUCAGAGGUCCCACUCGUCAAUGAGAUUCAAGGAAGAGACAUGGCGAA